CUUAUGGUCUCGUCCGUCCACUUCGUACACAGAGAUGUUCCCCCUGCGGUAAAUCUCCUUCCCUGGAGGCUGCCUCCACUGACACUGUGUCUGACACACACACACACACACACACACACACACACACACACACACACACACACACACACACACACACACACACA